AGUGUCGAAUAGUGCGCGUCUGUUCAGUUAUAGAUAGUUAUCAGUGUUAUAAUAAUUGAAGGUUAGACGACCAAUUAUUGAUUAUUAUAGUUAUCUUUGAUGAAGACAUUCAAAAGCCAAUUGGGUUUUUAGCAACAAUUUAUGCGAGAUUUCCGAAACAGUUGAAGUAAAGGGACAAGCGGAUCUUCAUCCUGUCUUAUCAGCGCUGAAGGGACUAUCUGUCGAUGUGCAGGAAAUUUUAGCAAAUCAGAGGUCCAUUUUACUUCAUUUAGGACAAAGAGAAACAGCUACAAAAAAGUUAUUUACUGAAAAGUACAAACUAGAAAUACCAUUUCAGAGUACUGAACAAUUUGGUGAAUUUAACGAAAAAUUAAAAAUUGAUGAUGGGUGUCGGACAGAAUUUUCUUCUUUGAAUUACCUUUUUGAUCAAGAGUUAAAUGCAUCAAAAACUUUAACAAAUGUUUUUUAAAAAUAUCUCAGCCAAAAUGUGAUACUUAAAUUUACGACAAAGAAAAACAUUCCUGGCAAACGGAUUAUGAAGAGAAUUUAUUUUUAUGAGUGUAUCUCAGACUUACGGACGUCCUGGUGAAAAGCCAUUAACUGGGGAUAACAUUUGAAGUUUAAUUAGCAAAGUUUUUAAUAAUGCUAAGGACCUGGACGGUGAGAGGUAGAAAACAGCUGCUUUGCAAAUCAGACUGAGCGAUAAAGCAGUUCGGGGUAAGGCCGAGGAAUUUCAAGAUCCACAGGAACAUCUAGAUCCAGAGGACCCUCUUCAAGAUCGAAAGAAGGAACCAAACAGCGAAGAUGAAAAUGAGAAGAUCACCUGUAAAUUAGCCAAGCACGAUAGAACAAAGUUUGAAAUGGAAAUAUAAAUGAGGGGUCUACACGAAUAAUGAUUUUAACAGUUUUGAUGAUUUAAAGAUUUGGAUACACCAAAUCAAACCAAUCUUCGACCGACAAUGCAAAUAAAUU